GACGAACGCUGGCGGCGUGCUUAACACAUGCAAGUCGAACGGAAAGGCCCUGCUUUUGUGGGGUGCUCGAGUGGCGAACGGGUGAGUAACACGUGGGUAACCUGCCCUGGACUUUGGGAUAACUUCAGGAAACUGGGGCUAAUACCGGAUAGGAGCUCCUGCUGCAUGGUGGGGGUUGGAGAGUUUCGGCGGUUGGGGAUGGACUCGCGGCUUAUCAGCUUGUUGGUGGGGUAGUGGCUUACCAAGGCUUUGACGGGUAGCCGGCCUGAGAGGGUGAACGGCCACAUUGGGACUGAGAUACGGCCCAGACUCCUACGGGAGGCAGCAGUGGGGAAUAUUGCACAAUGGGCGGAAGCCUGAUGCAGCAACGCCGCGUGCGGGAUGACGGCCUUCGGGUUGUAAACCGCUUUCGCCUGUGACGAAGCGUGAGUGACGGUAAUGGGUAAAGAAGCACCGGCUAACUACGUG
rnacentral:rRNA from 1 species